rnacentral:lncRNA from 10 species
GGUUGCCAUGGAGCCCAGGGCCAGAGGCAGUUUCUGGUCGUGCCUAGGAGCUGUGCAACGCCAGCCCUUGAGGAGGAAGCCAUCUGUUUCUGGAAUCACCCUCCCCGCCACGUAUAUGAGACAUAUCCUUGAUUGUCCGUGAAAUCAGGUGGUCCAGGGCCAGGUUGGUCCAUAGAGGUAGGUGUAAGACAUCCUCUGCUCCUGCCCAAGGGUCUCCUCGUAUCUGGAAGCUCUUUCUGCUGCUUGGUUUGGUACCUAUCAUGGGAGUUUUCGUGAUCCUUGCACACCACCAUCCCUCUCUGGAGUCUCACUGCCCUCCCAGGGACCCUGAGCAAGACGCAGGGCUGUCUCGGAUUUACAGAGGUCUGUCCUAUCCCCAUCUUUUCCCUUCCCUUCCCUUCCCUUCCCUUCCCUUCCCUUCCCUUCCC